rnacentral:tRNA from 1 species
AUUUAUAUAGUUUAAAAAACAUUACUUUUUCAAUGUAAAAUUAUAUACUAGAAUAUAUUAUAAAUA